AUUCUUUCUUCUUCAACCGUGGAAAGAACAGAAAAUAGCAGCCAUGGAUGAGCUCCAUUCGGCCAAGCUUUUAUGGCUUAUAUAGAUGAUGAAAAUUGAGACUUGGACCUAGAACGGAAAGAAAUCGAUUUAUGGACGAGUAUGUCCUUUUCACAUUUGUGGUAUCGAGAGUUUCCAGGUUAGCUCGGGUUGGAGGCCGUCGGAGAUAUUAUCACCCUAUCGAGUUAACGUUAUCG